rnacentral:rRNA from 1 species
UACGUAGGGGGCAAGCGUUGUCCGGAUUUAUUGGGCGUAAAGAGCGUGUAGGCGGCUGGGUAGGUCCGUUGUGAAAACUCGAGGCUCAACCUCGAGACGCCGAUGGAAACCCUCCAGCUAGAGUCCGGAAGAGGAGAGUGGAAUUCCUGGUGUAGCGGUGAAAUGCGCAGAUAUCGAGAGGAACACCUGCGGCGAAGGCGGGUAGCUGGGCCGACACUGACGCUGAUGCGCGAAAGCCAGGGGAGCGAACGGG